GGAGGAGCUGGAGACAGGCGCCUCACUGGAGCCACCUGUCGGGGGCGGGAGGCGAGUAACAGCCAGCACUGCUGGGCUGCUUGUCCCUUCACAUCCUGGCAAUCACAUCAUGAUAUUGGCCUCUCCAGCGCAGGGCCGGCGGCAGAGGCAGUCAUGGCCAACUCCCUGCUGGAGGCGUGUGUUGCGUUCCCAGGGACGUGCUCUGCUCAGCCCACCCAUUCACCACAUACGCCUCUCCAGCACUGCAAACUCGCGGCAUUAAAGUUAACUCCGUGAGGGUAAGGACGUUUGUCCUCCCUCCCACUCAGUUGUUGAAUUAAUGACUCUGGGAAACAUUGGACGACCUAACGGUGUUUCAGGGCAACUUUUUAAGUAUAUAGUCUCAGGUGCACUUCAGUACCCUCUUCACUGGUUUUGUUUCCAACUUGUACUACUCCCGCUAACAAACAGGGUUGACCGAGCCCGCCCUCCCUAUGUAAGCAGCCUUAUUUAGUCCUCAGCCGCUUGCUGAGGCACAGCCUAGGAUUCCCAUGGUACACAGGAAGAAACAGGUUUCCAGAGGUUACCACCUUGCUCACGGAGCUCACUCAAAACCAGGCGUGAGUCCAAAUCUCAAUUCCUUUUCUCGCUUUGAAUCUAGUCGCUGUCAGUUUCUUCUCCAUCUUUAGGUUUGGGCAGAGGCAAAGAACCCGUGGAUGGUUUCCCCACAUCCUGUUAAAACUUAUUUAUGAAAACUGGCCACAGGCAGCGAGAAACGAUUAAGCUGCUGCCUCUCCAAGCACGCCCUUCCCUCCCAGCCCUCAGCGAUCCGCCUCCAUGAAACCUGCCUGUACUUCACGUCAGCAGAAGCACCCAAUAUUUGUCCUUUUGUGUCCGUCAGACAUUUUGUUUCUCCACCUGUUAGACACACAGGUUGUUCCCCCUUUGGUUAUUGCGAACACUAACAAUAAAGGCAUGCAAGUAUCUGCA